rnacentral:rRNA from 1 species
GACGGAGGGUGCUAGCGUUGUUCGGAUUUACUGGGCGUAAAGGGCGCGUAGGCGGCCCUGUCAGUCGGGUGUGAAAGCCCGGGGCUCAACCCCGGAACGGCACCCGAGACGGCAGGGCUGGAGACCGGGAGAGGAGGGUGGAAUAGCCAGUGUAGAGGUGAAAUUCGUAGAUAUUGGCUGGAACACCGGUGGCGAAAGCGGCUCGCUGGCCCGGUUCUGACGCUGAGACGCGAAAGCGUGGGGAGCGAACAGG